AAAUAGCCGAAUUCUAACAACACUGAAGUACGCAUAGAAAGUCAGAUUUGCACGAAAAAACAUGAAUCAGAAAGUACAGGUAACUAUAUAAAACUUUUUGGGGACCUUUGCCACUACCAGUUUCACUUCACUUGUCAGUCUCCACACUUCCGAGUGCCAAAACUAUGCCCAGCCUUCGCCUUCUUGUCCUCUUCUUCUUCCUCUUCUUCUCAGUUCAUUCCCAAGAAGACACUCCCAUAGCUCGAUUCCUUCGUUACCUUCAAUUCAACACCGCUCAUCCCAAUCCAAACUACGCUGACCCCAUCUCUUUCCUCAUAUCCCAAGCCAACGCCAUUGGACUCCAAGCCCGAACUCUUGAAUUCACCCUUUCUAAACCACUUCUCCUUCUAACAUGGCCUGGCUCCAACCCUUCUCUUCCCUCAGUUCUCUUCAAUUCCCACCUCGAUUCCGUUCCAGCUGAACCUUCCAAAUGGAUCUACCCUCCUUUCUCCGCCACUCUCGCCCCUGACGGUAAAAUCUACGCGCGCGGUGCUCAAGAUGACAAGUGCAUCGCUAUGCAAUACUUGGAAGCCAUUCGCAACCUCAAGGCUAACGGCUUUACUCCUUUGCGAACUGUUCAUAUUUCUUAUGUUCCUGAUGAAGAAAUUGGAGGGUUUGACGGGAGUGCUAAGUUCACUGGGUCCAAAGAGUUUGAGGAUUUGAAUGUUGGGUUCGUUUUGGAUGAAGGGCAGGCUUCUACUGGCGAUGAGUUUAGAGUGUUUUAUGCUGAUAGGACACCAUGGGAACUUAAAAUAAAGGCUACUGGAGAUCCAGGGCAUGGUUCUAGAUUGUAUGAUAAUGGGGCAAUGGAGAAUCUGAUGAAGAGUGUGGAAGUUAUUACUAAGUUUAGGGAGAGUCAAUUUGAUAUUGUUAAAUCUGGGGAAGCUAUGAACUCUGAGGUUAUUUCGGUUAAUCCUGUUUAUCUAAAAGCUGGCAUACCCUCCCCAACUGGAUUUGUGAUGAACAUGCAACCUUCUGAGGGAGAGGCAGGAUUUGAUCUUAGGUUGCCACCUACUGCUGAUCCUGAUCUUAUCAAGAAAAGAAUUGCUGAAGAAUGGGCACCUGCUAGAAGGAAUAUGACAUAUGAGGUAAUUGAAAAAGGACCGAUAAGAGAUUACCUGGACCGCCCUCUAAUGACACUCACAAAUGAUUCCAAUCCAUGGUGGCCUGUUUUCAAGCAAGCUAUUGAGGCGGCUGGAGGAAAACUUUCGAGGCCUGAAAUUUUAGCUUCAACAACUGAUGCACGGUUCAUGAGACAAAGAGGAAUUCCUACUUUUGGUUUUUCCCCAAUGACAAACACUCCCAUCCUGUUGCAUGAUCAUAACGAGUUCCUGAAAGAUACAGUGUACUUGAGGGGAAUUGAAGUGUAUGAAUCUGUGAUAAGUUCUCUGAGUUCCUUUAAAGGAGAAUCUUAUUAGAUGCUUUCAACCAGUCAAUAAUUGAUCACGGUUGCAGUGUGUCAUGGGUUGAAAUGCUUCACGUAUCCGCUUCUGCAUCAAAUUCAGAUUGAAGCAAAUCAGAUUCUGGAUAAGUCAAGUGCUUCACCGCUUCGUGGCUUUUGUUAAUUGCAGAAGAAAAAGUAUGACAUUUGAAUUGAUUCUUGUACGAGAACAGAAACUCAAUGGAGACUUGAGCCAAAGAUGUGCAAUCUCGAACUAAGAAACGUAUAGCUUAGGCUCAGCUUUUCCAUUAAUGAAGUGGCUCAUAAACUUUUUCUCCAUCAACAGUUUCUUUCUCUAUCAGAAGUUGAGCAAGCUUGUCAAUGUGGGUUGUGAUUAUCUAGCUUGCCCUUGAAUACACAGUGAAGAACAUGAAAGAAGGGAAGGGGAGGAGUUUGAUGGGUGGAAGGAGAUGAAAGAAAAAAAUUAAGAUUUUGAUGCUGAAGGACAGAAGGAGAUAAAAGGAAAACAUGGAGAGUGAGUUUUCAACGGAUAUGUAUUUUAUUUUGUUCUAUUUCAUUCAAAAUAAAGUUAAAAUGGCGAGGGAGUGUCACGUAUCAUAUUUUUAUUUACUGAAGUUAUUUAAGGUCACUUAAAAAAUGACUAAAAAUCUUAAUAAAAUGAUACUU